UGAAAAAAAGAACGAUAUAAUCAUGCGAGUUUGUGGGUGGAUAUGCUCGGUGGUGUUGUGAAAAAAAAAGAAUUAAAAUUCUCAUAGAGAAAUCUAGUUGAGAAUAUCAUCACCGGGUGUUUUUCACCCUCACGCGCUUGAUAAGUCAUCUUUUGUU
rnacentral:pre_miRNA from 1 species